GACGAACGCUGGCGGCGUGCUUAACACAUGCAAGUCGAGCGGUAAGGCCCUUUCGGGGGUACGACGAGCGGCGAACGGGUGAGUAACACGUGGGUGACCUGCCCUUAGCUCUGGGAUAAGCCUGGGAAACUGGGUCUAAUACCGGAUAUGACUCCAUAACGCAUGUUGUGGGGUGGAAAGCCUUGUGCGGCUAGGGAUGGGCCCGCGGCCUAUCAGCUUGUUGGUGGGGUGAUGGCCUACCAAGGCGACGACGGGUAGCCGGCCUGAGAGGGCGACCGGCCACACUGGGACUGAGACACGGCCCAGACUCCUACGGGAGGCAGCAGUGGGGAAUCUUGCGCAAUGGGCGAAAGCCUGACGCAGCGACGCCGCGUGGGGAUGACGGCCUC
rnacentral:rRNA from 1 species